rnacentral:rRNA from 1 species
UACAGAGGGUGCGAGCGUUGUCCGGAAUCACUGGGCGUAAAGGGCGCGUAGGCGGUCUCUUAAGCGUGUGGUGAAAGCCCGGGGCUCAACUCCGGGUCGGCCGUGCGAACUGGGGGACUGGAGCUUGUCAGAGGCAGGCGGAAUUCCGGGUGUAGCGGUGGAAUGCGUAGAGAUCCGGAAGAACACCGGUGGCGAAGGCGGCCUGCUGGGACAGUGCUGACGCUGAGGCGCGAAAGCGUGGGGAGCGAACAGG